UGGUUGUCAGGGGUUAGCAUAGGUGAACCUCUACCGGCGUGAUCACCCUGCGAGGAAGAUCACGCUAGAGUUCUAGAGCUAGAAGUCAUCAAGAUCAAGGUAGGAUCCCGGUGGUGAUCUUGUGAUGUACAAUCGUUCAUGGUGAAGUAAUAGAUGUGUUCAUAUUCUUAGCGAUCUAAGUAUCUCCUUUGAUGGUUUUAUGCUUUAUCAGGUUUGCUUCCUUCUUCAAUCUAUGAAUCGAUGAUUGAUUGCCUAGGGUCGUGGUGACUAGAUUUUCAUGCCUAAUCUACUGAUGAAUAUGACACGUUCUCUUGAUCGUGCCCUUAACCUGCUUGCACUGAUAGAGGUGAUCAUGACAGGAUCUUUCUUGUGUAAGGUGGGGGGUUUCAGAAUCCGGACUGAAGGUGUAGAUUUAAAGAUGCUUUUUACUAAGAUCAUAUCUGCAUUGCUUUGCUAUCCAUGCUCUGAAUUACAACAUAUGAAUAGUUUAGGUUGCUCUAGAUUGGUUACCUUUGCUCUAUUUGUUAUCUAUCUAUACAUGCUUACUAGAUUGGAUUUGAAUCUCUCAUAAACAUCAAGUUAAUACUAACAAUGCUAGUUGAAAUAGAUUUUGUGCUCUAAGUUCCACGGAUUGAUAAAUCUUGAGGGAAUACUCUAAGGGAAGAGAUACAACUGAUCCAUACGCUUACGGUUCACAACUUACACUUUUCUGGCGCUGUUGCCGGGGAACUAAUAGUCAAGUUGUAGUUUAACUAUGCAUCUGUAGAUAUAAAUUUUUGUUCAUGAUUUUUGCAGUCUUUUCUAUUUAAUCCUUUUAUUUUUGUGCAAUCUCAAUUAAAAUUUCAGAUCUAGUUCUUGUAUAUAUGUGUUUUCUUUCACUAACGCUAAGAAGAGAUGGACGGCUAUCUCUCCAACAAACCGAAAAAUUUUGUGGAUAAUCUAAAAAUACUUUAUACGCAAGUAAGACAUUUAGCACAAGCAAGAAAGCUGGAGAUCGAAGCUUCAACUGUUAAGGAAGAAUUGGAAGUGUCGGAAACAUCGUCAUCAUCAUCAUCAUCUAGUCC
rnacentral:lncRNA from 1 species